rnacentral:lncRNA from 1 species
AGGAGGAAAAGAAAGAAAUAGAGUAAUUACGUAGGUAGCUAGCCACGAGAUGCAUGGCCGGGAGGACGAUCAUGGUUCAUGGAGUUGGAGCAAUAUAGAAACACCAGUGGGAGUGAGCUUUGUCUGGUGCAAUGCUUGAGUACGUGCGUGGCCGCUGACCGGAAUACACGUGCGGUCGACAUGCCGCUGCCUCGGGAUUCCGCGCCACGCUGCCACAUGCUCGCCAACUCCUGCCCGCGUACGCGUACGUGCGCGCCACUGCCAUGUCAGCUAGCGAGCUUCCUUCUUCCCUUCGCCGCCGGCGGGGCGUCCGUCGUCGUGUUCCGGCGAGGGCGCGGCGAUCGAGGGUAGGGUACGCUCCACUAGCAUUAGC